AACGGCCGUACCAUGCUGAAUAUACCGGUUCUCGUUAGAUCACCGAAGUCAAGCAGCAUUGGGCGCGGUCAGUACAUGGGUGGGUGACCACUUGGGAACACCGCGUGCCGUU
rnacentral:rRNA from 1 species